rnacentral:rRNA from 1 species
GGACGAGGUAUUCGAAUUACUUUCACCUCCAUUACCCUGGCCGGCCCAGCGCCGGUAUCGCCCUGGGCCUGCUGCCUCAACAUGUGUGGCGCUGUGCAUGCAUCUGACAUCGCGGUCCUUGGGCGUUCAUCGUAAGCCGCCGAUGGUUGAUCAUGACCCCAUCACCGGCCUUUGCGAACUGCCGCUGGCCAUCUCAGCCUGUCCGCUGGGUGCUAUUAAGCCCGCUAAGGCCACCAACGAGAAAGGCUAAGAGGUUAAGUCGGUUGUCGUCUAUUGCCGCCAAGUGUAUGUACUACGGUAACUGCUAAAA